rnacentral:rRNA from 1 species
CAGUAGCCGCGGGAAUACGUAGGUGGCAAGCGUUGUCCGGAAUUAUUGGGCGUAAAGGGCUCGCAGGCGGUUUCUUAAGUCUGAUGUGAAAGCCCCCGGCUCAACCGGGGAGGGUCAUUGGAAACUGGGAAACUUGAGUGCAGAAGAGGAGAGUGGAAUUCCACGUGUAGCGGUGGAAUGCGUAGAGAUGUGGAGGAACACCAGUGGCGAAGGCGACCCUCUGGUCUGUAGCUGACGCUGAGGAGCGAAAGCGUGGGGAGCGAACAGGAUUAGAUACCCGCGUAGUCCCUGUCUCUUAUAC